rnacentral:rRNA from 1 species
GACGGGUGAGUAACGCGUGAGCAAUCUGCCUUUAAGAGGGGGAUAACAGUCGGAAACGGCUGCUAAUACCGCAUAAAGCAUCAAAUUCGCAUGUUUUUGAUGCCAAAGGAGCAAUCCGCUUUUAGAUGAGCUCGCGUCUGAUUAGCUGGUUGGCGGGGUAACGGCCCACCAAGGCGACGAUCAGUAGCCGGACUGAGAGGUUGAACGGCCACAUUGGGACUGAGACACGGCCCAGACUCCUACGGGAGGCAGCAGUGGGGAAUAUUGCGCAAUGGGGGAAACCCUGACGCAGCAACGCCGCGUGAUUGAAGAAGGCCUUCGGGUUGUAAAGAUCUUUAAUCAGGGACGAAACAAAUGACGGUACCUGAAGAAUAAGCUCCGGCUAACUACGUGCCAGCAGCCGCGGUAACACGUAGGGAGCAAGCGUUAUCCGGAUUUACUGGGUGUAAAGGGCGCGCAGGCGGGCCGGUAAGUUGGAAGUGAAA